AUAAAAAAGCGAAAUAACUCCAAAUUCAUGGUUUUCGAGAUUUAAUCAUAAAGUGAAAUAACUAGACGAGAAGAACCUGUUCCGUUUAACAGCCAGGUUAAAAUGAUGAAAAUGAGAGAGAUAAAUGAUUUUCCCGCUCUUUUUUACUAACGCUUUUGCACAAACCGGUACUCGUAAAAUGGUGGAAUUCAGUUAUACUCCGGCUGUGUUUGGAGGUAAGAUAUCCGAUAAUUUCAAAGAAAGUGAUACAAUACGAAACAAUUCUGUGUUUUACUAACGAAGUGGCGUCUUCUAGUCUAGAGCACAAAAAUACUUGGAUUAGUAGCGAAAAAUUCCUCAUUGGAUAAUAAUUCCAGCAAUGAAAAACCCGUUAAUAAUACAUGUGAAACUACGGAAGAAAUGCCUCGAGUUUACAAGAGAAAAAGUGACAAAGUACGAUGGAAUUCUGAGCAACUUACUGCAGCAAAAAAUGCAGUAAAUAAUGGCAGAAGCGUCCGUGAAGUUGCAAGAAGUUUUGCAAUUCCCAGAUCUAUAAUUCAACUACGACUAAAACGAAAUGAUACAACAGCUGCUUCUUUAGGUCGUAAUUCUGUAUUUACCAAAGAAGAAGAAGAAGAAGUUUUGACAAAGCAGGUCAUAAAGUUAUCAAAACAUUUUUAUGGGAUAACUCCUACAGAAAUAAAAAAAUGUGCCUAUAAAUACGCUGAAGAAAAAAAUUACGUCAUCCAUUUUCCAAAGAAAA
rnacentral:lncRNA from 1 species